UACGUAGGGGGCAAGCGUUGUCCGGAAUCAUUGGGCGUAAAGAGCGCGUAGGCGGCCCAGUAAGUCCGCUCUGAAAGUCAGGGGCUCAACCCCUGGAUGCGGGUGGAUACUGCUGGGCUAGAGUCCGGAAGAGGCGAGUGGAAUUCCUGGUGUAGCGGUGAAAUGCGCAGAUAUCAGGAGGAACACCAAUUGCGAAGGCAGCUCGCUGGGACGUUACUGACGCUGAGACGCGAAAGCGUGGGGGGCAAACAGG
rnacentral:rRNA from 1 species